CUUUAUUCAAUGGAAAUGAUCACUCUGGCUUCUCUUUGCUGCAGGUGCUAUGUGGAGGGCAUUGGGUGUCUUCCUUGGCUUCCAGCUGCUGGCAGGUCUUUGCAGUGGGGUGAUGGUGACUCAGAAGGAGAAGUUUAUAGCCAUCCAGAAUGGCAACGAGGCAAGAAUCCCAUGUGAACAUGAUGACAAAUCUUACAUUACUGUCCUGUGGUAUCAGCAGAAGGCUGCAGAAAGGCAGCUGCAGUUAGUAGCCACCUCCACAGGUGUGAAUUCAUCAGAAAUAGAAAAAGAGUUACAAACCAGAUACAGUGUGGUACGGCCAGCAAUUCUAAACACCUCCCUGACAAUCAACCCGGGGAUGGUUGAAGACACUGCAGUGUAUUUCUGUGCAGCUAGCAAAGCACAGUGA